GUGCUCACUGUGGCAGCACGCAGACUAAAACUGGAACGAUACGGAGAAGGUUAGCGUGGCCCUGGCACAAGGAUGACACGCAAGGUCAUGAAGCAUUCCAUAUUUUG